UACAGAGGUGGCAAGCGUUGUUCGGAAUUACUGGGCGUAAAGGGCGCGUAGGCGGCCUUCUUAGUCGGACGUGAAAUCCCCAGGCUCAACUUGGGAACUGCGUCCGAUACUGGAUGGCUUGAGUGCGGGAGAGGGAUGUGGAAUUCCAGGUGUAGCGGUGAAAUGCGUAGAUAUCUGGAGGAACACCGGUGGCGAAGGCGGCAUCCUGGACCAACACUGACACUGAGGAGCGAAAGCCAGGGGAGCAAACGGG
rnacentral:rRNA from 1 species